GGUGUGUUAGUUAGAGGAAGAUCGUUAAUGAUAAUAUACGCGGUCGUACCGUCGCCGGGGGUGAUGACAUCUCUCCGCACUCCCAUCCUGGUCGCUUUGAAUGCUCUGAUAGCGGCACGCUGGACGUAGUGACGUCGGGGAUCCGGGGCAGCGCGCGCCGCGCCCUUGCUCGCCUUCCAUUGGCUGCCGAGCCGACCCCGCCCACUGAAGAGUUCUAAACACCAAACAGAGCCGCUCGUUCCACACUCCGAGCUCACUAAACCAGACAAGCUUUUUAAAUGGGAUCCACAGCAGCGGCCCUUCAUACACCGUCUAAAAACUGUCUCGAGUUCGUUGGUCCGUCUCCACCAAGAUGUCGCCGAC